rnacentral:rRNA from 1 species
GACGUAGGGGGCCAGCGUUGUUCGGAAUUACUGGGUGUAAAGGGUUCGUAGGCGGUGCGGCAAGUUGGGAGUGAAAUCUCUGGGCUUAACCCAGGGGCUGCUUCCAAAACUGCUGUGCUUGAGUGUGGGAGAGGCGCGUGGAAUUGCAGGUGUAGCGGUGAAAUGCGUAGAUAUCGUAAGGAAGACCAGUGGCGAAGGCGGGUCUCUGGACAGUUCCUGACGCUGAGGCACGAAGGCCAGGGGAGCAAACGGG